rnacentral:rRNA from 1 species
AGUGAACGCUGGCGGUAGGCCUAACACAUGCAAGUCGAACGGCAGCACAGGAGAGCUUGCUCUCUGGGUGGCGAGUGGCGGACGGGUGAGGAAUACAUCGGAAUCUACUCUGUCGUGGGGGAGAACGUAGGGAAACUUACGCUAAUACCGCAUACGACCUACGGGUGAAAGCAGGGGACCUUCGGGCCUUGCCCGAUUGAAUGAGCCGAUGUCGGAUUAGCUAGUUGGCGGGGUAAAGGCCCACCAAGGCGACGAUCCGUAGCUGGUCUGAGAGGAUGAUCAGCCACACUGGAACUGAGACACGGUCCAGACUCCUGCGGGAGGCAGCAGUGGGGAAUAUUGGACAAUGGGCGCAAGCCUGAUCCAGCCAUACCGCGUGGGUGAAGAAGGCCUUCGGGUUGUAAAGCCCUUUUGUUGGGAAAGAAAUCCAGCUGGCUAAUACCCGGUUGGGAUGACGGUACCCAAAGAAUAAGCACCGGCUAACUUCGUGCCAGCCGCCGCCGUAA